CAAGCAUUUAUUGUGGCACGCGUUUUGCAAUUUUCAUUUAUUGUUGCAGACCUUUUGCAUCUCUCUUCCUUCAGAAAUCCCAAGCGCCAUUUUUUUUACCAUUUUCACUUUCUCUCAUUUCUCUCUCCCCAAUUGUUCUCUCCCCCUUCUCUGUUCCUUCUUUUCAUUUUUUUAUUCUCCCUAUUUUUCUGCAUUUUUUUACAUCUAAAGCUAUGAUUUUUUACACCAAAAUUAUGAUUUUUAUCUCAGAUUUCAUGACAACGAUAUCAUAUUUGCGUUCCUCUCCAGGUUUGCAUUUCUAUAUCGUGUUCUUGGUGGAAGAACACACCAAAGUUUAAAUAUUUUUAUCUCAAAACUCUAUGAGUGCGGGUUCGUUUUCUUUGUGACUUCUGACAAUACAAAAGUUUAAAUUUUUUUAUUUUGUUUUCUGACUUCUCACAAUACCUUCGCUAUUGUAUGCAGAGAAGGUGAAAGAACACUAAAGCUGCAAUUUUUAUCUCCAAAAAGCUAAGAUUUUUAUCUCAAAUAGAUUUGUUUUCUGUGUUUUUCUGCAUUUUUUUACAUCUAAAGCUGUGAUUUUUUACAUCAAAAACUGUGAUUUUUAUCUCAGAUUCCAUGACUAUGAUAUCAUAUUUGCAUUCCUCUCCAGGUUUGCAUUUCUAUAUCGUGUUCUUGGUGGAAGAACACACCAAAGCUGACAUUUUUAUCUCAAAACUCUGUGAGUGCAGAGGAGGUGAAAGAACACUAAAGCUGCGAUUUUUAUCUCCAAAAAGCUUCGAUUUUUAUCUCAAACAGAUUUGUUUUUUGUAUUUUUCUGCGUUUUUUUACAUCUAAAGCUGUGAUUUUUUACACCAAAACUGUGAUUUUUAUCUCAGAUUCCAUGACAACGAUAGCAUAUUUGUGUUCCUCUCCAGGUUUGCAUUUUUAUAUCGUGUUCUUGGUGGAAGAACACACCAAAGCUGUCAUUUUUAUCUCAAAACUCUGAGUGCGGGUUUGUUUUCUUUGUGACUUUUGACAAUACAAAAGUUUAAAUUUUUAUAUUUUGUUUUGUGAUUUCUCACAAUACCUUUACUAUUGUAUGCAGAGAAGCUGAAAGAACACUAAAGCUGCGAUUUUUAUCUCCAAAAAGCUUCGAUUUUUAUCUCAAACAGAUUUGUUUUCUUUGUUUCUCACAAUACAAAAGCUUACAUUUUUUUAGUCAGUCUCUAUUGCAUGCAGAGAAGGUGGAAGAGCAGACUACAACGACAGUUUUUAUCUCAAAACUCCACGAGUAUGGGUUCAUUUUCUUUGUUUUUUUGGUUUAUGGUUAAAUUUUUUUCGUCUUUGUCAGCCUUAUCAAACGUGUUCAUUCUUUCUUAUACCCAUUUUUUUGGGGUUUUAUGAUUUUUCACGAGACAAAAGCUUUAAUUUUUUUGGGUGUUCUUCCUUUAUUUUGUUUUCUAAGUUCUUGCACUACAAAAAGUUUAAAUUUUUUUAUUUUAUUUUCUGACUUCUCACAAUACCUUUGCUAUUGUAUGCAAAGAAGGUGGAAGAAGACACUAAUCUACAAAAAGCUUCUAUUUUUAUCUCAAACAAGUUUGUUUUCUUUGAUUCUCUGACUACAUUUUGUUUGUUUCUUUGUUUCUCACAAUACAAAAGUUUAAAUUUUUUUGUGAACCUCAGCCUUCUCCGAUGUCCCACUUUUUUUGGGUUUUAUGAUUUUUCGCAAGACAAAAGCUUUAAUUUUUUGGAUAUUCUCCCUUUAUUUUGUUUUCUGAGUUCUCGCACUACAAAAAAUUUAAAUUUUUGUGUGUUCCUAAGCCAGUAGCUUGCGUUGCAUUUUGGGUUUAUAUCUGGAUCAUUGGGUAACUUUUUUUUUUGUUUUUUAUUUUUCGCAACCCAAAAGCUUAAAUUUUUUUGGGUGUUCUGCCUUUAUAUUUUUUUCCUUUAAUGCUGGCUGAAGUUAUUUCAAUGGGUUAUAUUUUUAUAUUUGUUCAAUCCCUUUGAGUUAGACACUUUCAACUUUGAUUUUCAAAUAUAUGACAUGCUUUAUUAUCACAUAUAUGUCAUCCUUUAUUUAUAUGGUCAGAUAAUUGAAUAUAGUAGUUUUGGACUUCUUUGUUUAUGGUUUUUUUAGGGUCACAGAGAUUUCAAUUUACAUUUUGAUGCAGAGGCUCUCAACAUUCACAGCUUGAAUUACAUUUAUUCUUUAUUAGUAAUAUAGAUAUUUUUUAUUGCUCAUUGUUAGGUUUUAGUUAAUUUAAUAUUAUUUUAUUAGUAAUAUAGAUUAUUUUAGUUAAUUUUUGUUUGCGUCUCAUUUUUGCGUUCAGUUGUAGCAAUCGCAGGAAUUCUUGACAAAAAAUCAGCUGACUCCAAUGAUAGGGUAGCUAAUAAUCAAGAAGCAACAAAAUUGGAGUAAUGAUGACCCCAUUUGAUUGAUGAAGAAAUUUUGAUGUUACUUUGUUUUAACAAUUUAAAGUUGUAAUUUCAUAAUUAUGAUUUCCAGACAUUGUAUUUUAUUAAUAUUGUAUUCAAACAUUGUCAAAAUAGACAGAGUUUCACAAAAGUUUCUUAAGAAGUCGGGUUUGAUUAUGAUUAAUAUAUGAUUCAUGUUGAGUGUUUGAUCAAUUUAA